ensembl:lncRNA
GAACUCUGCUUAUCGCUCACGCCACGGAGGAAACCCGGGAAGGCAAUUUCCUUCAAUUUUUGGUGUCAGAAGUGGGAUCCCUGACAGAAGCUUUUCCCCUCCACAGUUCCACCAGUGGAGACAAGGAGACGCAUGUUGGAGAAGCCACUAAAACCAAGGACUCUCUGGGAGGCCGCGCGUGUUCCAGCCCCAGACUGUACUGGCAGUGACGAAGAACCAGCAUCCUCAUAGACGGACAACCUCAGUGGAUUCAUGCCAGCAGGGUUAAGACCAGCCCAAUCGGACCAUCUCAGGCGUCGGAUCAAGCAGACGAC